GGGUGCAAGCGUUAAUCGGAAUUACUGGGCGUAAAGCGUGCGCAGGCGGUUUUGUAAGUCUGUCGUGAAAUCCCCGGGCUCAACCUGGGAAUUGCGAUGGAGACUGCAAGGCUAGAAUCUGGCAGAGGGGGGUAGAAUUCCACGUGUAGCAGUGAAAUGCGUAGAGAUGUGGAGGAACACCGAUGGCGAAGGCAGCCCCCUGGGUCAAGAUUGACGCUCAUGCACGAAAGCGUGGGGAGCAAACAGGAUUAGAUACCCUGGUAGUCCACGCCCUAAACGAUGUCUACUAGUUGUCGGGUUUUAAUUAACUUGGUAACGCAGCUAACGCGUGAAGUAGACCGCCUGGGGAGUACGGUCGCAAGAUUAAAACUCAAAGGAAUUGACGGGGACCCGCACAAGCGGUGGAUGAUGUGGAUUAAUUCGAUGCAACGCGAA
rnacentral:rRNA from 1 species